AUUGAACGCUGGCGGCAGGCCUAACACAUGCAAGUCGAGCGAGCGGCGGACGGGUGAGUAAUGUAUGGGGACUGCCCGCUCGAGGGGGAUAACUACUGGAACCGGUUGCUAAUACCGCAUACUAUCGGAUAACCCAUAUGGGAUUAGCUAGUUGGUGGGGUAAAGGCUCCCCUAGGCGCCGAUCUAUAGCUGGUCUGAGAGGAUGCUCAGCCGCACGGGGACGGAGACACGGCCCAGACGCCUGCGGAGGCAGCAGUGGGGAAUAGUGGACAAUGGGCGCAAACCUGAUGCAGCAGUGGCGCGUGUAUGAAGAAGGCCUUAGGGUUGUGAAGUACUUUCAGCGGGGAGGCGUUACCCGCAGAAGAAGCACCGGCUAACUCCGUGCCAGCAGCCGCGGUAAUUC
rnacentral:rRNA from 1 species